rnacentral:ncRNA from 1 species
ACUUAUAUGAUGACAGGGCUUGUUCAUAGGACCGCUCUUCACUAGCGAAUCAGGGAUGGUGGAAGCCUGAUUGAAGAUGUUUUAUGAAAGAUCACCCUAGAGUACUUUUGUCGAACCUUUAGUAGAUAAAAGCGCUUCAUUCACGUUACGAGUGCUUGAGUGGAUUUGAUAGGCGUGAUGGCCUUCUAAAUCUAUAAGGGUGGUACCGCGAGACCUUCUCGUCCCUUUC